rnacentral:rRNA from 1 species
ACUGGUGUUGAUCAGGAUGGUUUACAAUGGGAGGGAUACAUGGGUCUAUUUAUAGAGGAAGAUUGGGGCUGUGCUGGGAUUUGGGUCUGUGCUGGGGAAGCUAGGGAUUGGGGGUAUGCUGGGGAUUGGGGCUGUGCUGGGGAUUGGGGCUGUGGCAUGGAUUGGGGCUGUGCUAGAAGGUAUCCAGAAUCAUGGGGCAUAAGGGCUGUGCUAGAUGAUAUCCAAGUGCCAUGGCUCUGGAUCAUGCAAUGUACUGUGGCUCCGUGUUGUGACCUGUACCGUGGCUCUGGGUCAUGACUUGUACCGUGGCUCUGGUUCAUGAUCUGUACCGUGGCUCUGGGUCAGGACUUGUAUCUAGGCUCUGGAUCAUGACAGGCAAAAUAGAUCCGUCACUUCGGAAAAGGAUUGGCUCUAAGGGUUGGGCGCAUUGGGCCAUUGUUCAAAGCCUUGGAACUGGCCUGGGACUACUCGGGUCGCAAGAGAAGAGCGGAUCUGGGCCAGAUCUGGGCGUGGCGGACUUUGGCGUGCUUCACGACGUCUGGUGCAUGGUUAACAACCAACUUAGAACUGGUACGGACAAGGGCAAUCUGACUGUCAAAUUAAAACAUAGCAUUGCGAUGGUUAGAAAAUAAUGUUAACGCAAUGUGAUUUCUGCCCAGUGCUCUGAAUGUCAAAGUGAAGAAAUUCAACCAAGCGCGGGUAAACAGCGGGGGUAACUACGACUCUCUUAAGGUAGCCCAAUGCCUCGUCGUCUAAUUAGUGACGCGCAUGAAUGGAUUAACGAGAUUCCCACGGUCCCUAUCUACUAUCUAGCGAAACCACAGCCAAGGGAACGGGCUUGGCGUAAUCAGCGGGGAGAGAAGACCCUGUUGAGCUUGACUCUAGUUUGACAUUGUGAAAAAACUUAGGGGGUGUAGAAUAAGUGGGAGCUUCGGCGCCGGUGAAGUACCACUACCCUUAUCGUUUUUUUACUUAUUCAAUGAAGCAGGAUUGGCCUUCACCCAUCACCUUCUGGUGUUACGGCACUUCGCGUGCUAACCUGGGUUGAAGACAUUGUCAGGCGGGGAGUUUGGCUGGGGCGGCACAUCUGUUAAAAGAUAACGCAGGAGUCCUAAGGGGAACUCAUCCAGAACAGAAAUCUCGAGUAGAACAAAAGGGUAAAAGUUCCCAUGUUUUUGAUUUUCAGUGUGAAUACAAACCAUGAAAGUGUGGCCUACCGAUCCUUUAGUCACUGGGUAUUUCAGCCUAGAGGUGUCAGAAAAGUUACCACACGGAUAGCUGGCUUGUGGCAGCCAGCGUUCAUAGCGACAUUGCUUUUUGAUCCGUUGAUGUUGGCUCUUCCUAUCAUUGAGAAGCCGAAUUCUCAAAGCGUCAGAUUGUUCACCAAUAGGGAGCGUGAGCUGGGUGUAGACCGUCGUGAGACAGGUUAGUUUCUCACUACUGAUGAAGGUUUAUCGCAAUAGUAUUUCAACCUAGUACGAGAGGAAGUGUUGAUUCGCAUAAUUGGUUUUCGCUGUUAGCUGAAAAGCUAGUGCCGCGAUGCUACCAUUCGUCGGAUUACGGCUGAAUGCCUCCAACUCGGAAUCCACGCUAGAACGCGAUGAUUUCUCCCCACUUCAUGUCAGAAGAGUACAUAUAGACUUUGGUCGAGAAUCAUAGAGGAGUAGCAAGGGUAGGCUCCGAAGGGGACCCCCCAAAAGAGUCGGAGAGGCGCUUCUGCCCAGAUGUCGGGCGAAUCGCGCCGGCCAUUACCUGUCUUGACAUCCCCGCGAUUUGCACCACCUCCACGAUCCAGUCCUCCGCGUUCUUCCGUUCCAUGGCGU